rnacentral:rRNA from 1 species
UACGUAGGCAGCGAGCGUUGUUCGGAGUUACUGGGCGUAAAGAGUGCGUAGGCGGUUUUCUAAGUUUGGUGUGAAAUCUCCCGGCUCAACUGGGAGGGUGCGCCGAAGACUGGAAGGCUUGAGUAUGGGAGAGGUAAGCGGAAUUCCUGGUGUAGCGGUGAAAUGCGUAGAUAUCAGGAGGAACACCAAUGGCGAAGGCAGCUGCGCUGGGACGUGACUGACGCUGAGACGCGGAAAGCGUGGGGAGCAAACAGG